rnacentral:lncRNA from 1 species
AUGUUAACGGGGGGGGGAGCGGGGGAGGGGGCGGCGGCGGGGGCGGGAGGGGGAAGGGGCCGGCGGGAGCUGCUCUCGUCGGCUCGGCGGUCGCGGCGCCCGCAGUCUGGAGGCGCACCGGAGCGGCCGGGGCGCCCCCCGCGGGAGCCCGCAGCCACCCGGGACGCGCAUCCAGCCGUGGCGCUUCGGGCCGGGCACACUGCGCCCGGGGGCUCCGCGAACCCAGCGCAGCCGCCGCUUCGGAGCUUGUGCGGCGCGGGCUGGCCAGCGGGGCGGCCAGGGCCAGGCCCGCCUCCCCAGCGCCCGCCCGGCUUCUCCCCCUGGCGGUGGGAGCUUCGGCGGCCGCCGGCGACACUAGGCGCACUGGAGCCCGAGCCGAGCCGAGCCCGAGCCGCCGCCGCCGCCGCCGCCGCUACUGCGCGCUGCUCCCGGGCUCCCUCCCAGCGCGCGGGCCGGGGUGUGGGGGGCGGCGGGCCGGAGGGGCGAGGGCGGGCCAGGGGGCGCGCUUGGGGGUUGGCGCGAAGACCGGACCCUCAGCCGCGAGGGAGCCCCUUGGUGACCAGGCAAAAUGACAGUUCUCUCCAGCUGGUUCUUAGAUGGGCAUAUCUAUUAGCCUCUGCUCUCGGAAGAAGUUAGCUGCAGAAUCCUUAUAGGACUCUGGAGAAGAUCAAAUGGGAGCUUGGAUGUGGAAGCUCUUUGGAAACCAAGAAGCACUCUGUAAAUGAAAAGG